rnacentral:rRNA from 1 species
AUUGAACGCUGGCGGCAGGCCUAACACAUGCAAGUCGAGCGGAGCGGCGGACGGGUGAGUAAUGCCUAGGAAUCUGCCUGGUAGUGGGGGAUAACGUCCGGAAACGGGCGCUAAUACCGCAUAAUAUCAGAUGAGACUAGGCCGGAGUAGCUAGUUGGUGGGGUAAAGGCCUACCAAGGCGACGAUCCGUAACUGGUCUUAGAGGUUGAUCAGUCACACUGGAACUGAGACACGGGCCAGACACCUACGGGAGGCAGCAGUGGGGAAUAUGGGAGAAGGGGCGAAAGCCUGAUCCGACCAUGCCGCGUGUGUGAAGAAGGUCUUCGGAUUGUAAAGCGCUUUAAGUUGGGAGGCGUGACCAACAGAAUAAGCACCGGCUAGCUUCGAGCCAGCAGCCGCGGUAAUAC